GCUGGGGUAGCUCAGUGGGAAAAGCAUGAGGUUGUUCAUCCCAGGGUUGUGGGUUUGAGCCCCAUGUUGGGCA